UGGGGAAUAUUGCACAAUGGGCGGAAGCCUGAUGCAGCGACGCCGCGUGAGGGAUGACGGCCUUCGGGUUGUAAACCUCUUUCAGCUCCGACGAAGCGUAAGUGACGGUAGGAGCAGAAGAAGCGCCGGCCAACUACGUGCCAGCAGCCGCGGUAAGACGUAGGGCGCGAGCGUUUUCCGGAUUUAUUGGGCGUAAAGAGCUCGUAGGCGGCUUGUUACGUCGACUGUGAAAACCCGCGGCUCAACCGUGUGGUCUGCAGUCGAUACGGGCAGGCUAGAAUUCGGUAGGGGAGACUGGAAUUCCUGGUGUAGCGGUGAAAUGCGCAGAUAUCAGGAGGAACACCGGUGGCGAAGGCGGGUCUCUGGGCCGAUAUUGACGCUGAGGAGCGAAAGCGUGGGGAGCAAACAG
rnacentral:rRNA from 1 species